CCCGCUGAACUUAAGCAUAUCAAUAAGCGGAGGAAAAGAAACCAACAGGGAUUGCCUUAGUAACGGCGAGUGAAGCGGCAACAGCUCAAAUUUGAAAUCUGGCUCACGCCCGAGUUGUAAUUUGUAGAGGAUGCUUCGGGUGAAGCCGCGGUCCAAGUCCCUUGGAACAGGACGUCAUAGAGGGUGAGAACCCCGUACCUGGCCGCCGGUGCCCCCCGCUGUGAAGCUCCUUCGACGAGUCGAGUUGUUUGGGAAUGCAGCUCUAAAUUGGUGGUAAAUUCCAUCUAAAGCUAAAUACCGGCCAGAGACCGAUAGCGCACAAGUAGAGUGAUCGAAAGAUGAAAAGCACUUUGAAAAGAGAGUUAAAAAGUACGUGAAAUUGUUGAAAGGGAAGCGCUUGCGGCCAGACUUGCCCGCGGUUGCUCAGCCCGCCCUUUGGCGGGUGCACUCUUCCGCGGUCAGGCCAGCAUCGGUUUGGGCGGUCGGACAAAGGCGUUGGGAACGUGACCUCCCCUCGGGGAGGUGUUAUAGCCCGGCGCGUAAUGCGACCAGCCCGGACCGAGGUUCGCGCUCUGCUAGGAUGCUGGCGUAAUGGCCGUAAGCGGCCCGUCUUGAAACACGG
rnacentral:rRNA from 1 species